rnacentral:tRNA from 2 species
CUUCACGGUCGGCCACGCCCUGGGCUUUGAGCGCCUCGUUGAGGCGAUGCCGGGCGUCGGCGAGUUCGGUGUUCGCCGUGGGGAC